rnacentral:rRNA from 1 species
GACGAACGCUGGCGGCGUGCUUAACACAUGCAAGUCGAACGGAAAGGCCCCUCUUGGGGUUCUCGAGUGGCGCACGGGUGAGUAACACGCGAGUAACCCUCCCUUGACUUCGGGAUUACUUCAGGAAACUGGGGCUAAUACCGGCUAGCGAUCCUUGCUGCAUGGUGGGGGUUGGUCAGAUUCGGCGGUUUUGGAUGGACUCGCGGCUUAUCAGCUUGUUGGUGGGGUAGUGGCUUACCAAGGCUUCGACGGGUAGCUGGCCUGAGAGGGCGAUCGGCCACAUUGGGACUGAGAUGAGGCCCAGAUGCCUACGGGAGGCAGCAGUGGGGAAGAUUGCACAAUGGGCGGAGGGCGGAUGAAGAAGCGCCGCGGGCGGGAUGACGGCCUUCGGGUUGAGAACCGGUAGCAGCAGGAGAGAAGCUUGUGGUGACGGUACCUGCAGAAGAAGCACCGGCUAACUACGUG